CGUCGCCAUUACCAAGUCUUUCAAGCUCCGUCUUCCCCCUCCCCUCAACCCCCCGGGGGUUGAGCCUCCUCCCAGCUCUUUCGCUCCCUCAUUGGGCUGCGGGACUGCCACUCGGGCCUUCCCCUUCCCCAUUGGGUGAUACCGUGGUCCGUCUCGGGGGGCGGCCUUGUAUUGACUUUUGUGUUGUGUUUACUGGAGAAGACGGCGUGUCAAUCACUACAGCGAGCGCUUCGGAUUGGAUUGCUGCCGAGACUCCGGGGACCCAAGCCAAACUUCGCCCACGAAAUGGAUUGUGGGUUCGUAGUCUCAACCUUCCUCCUUUUCUCUGGGAAACUGCAGGCCGGAGGAACCGGUUGGACUACAUAUCCCAGAGAGAUCAAAAGAAGAGAGAAUAUUUUAGAGAAAGAGCACAAUCCAGUUUAAUGUCAUGGUACAAAAAUUACAGAAUCUAUUGCAAAUCUGUUCUUCAAAAAUUGUACCUAGGAAAUCAGGUGCUAUCAUCUGCAUGCUUUACCUGUGAACUUCAACUAUCUUCAUAAAUCCUACUUCUUGGCAGCCCUACUCUAAGCAAGGACAAAAAAUACAACAAACGUGCUGAUGAGAUGUCAGAUGGGCUACCAGUCCAGCUGAAAUCCCGUGUGCCGCUCUUUCCUACAGAUGUCUCCCCUGAUAACGUGAGGCCUCAGAAGCGCAGAGCCACGGGAGAGCCCAGAGGGGGCCAAGAGACCUGGCUGUUAAGUCGGCUCCACACUGAUCCUCUGGGUGACCGUACCCCACUCCUGUCCCUUCUGUGUGCCUGAGCGAGAGUCUUCAUCUGUCAAGUGGGUGAUCAGGAUCUGACUGAAAAGGGAAUGGUCUAUAUACAAACGUAAGGCGGUUUUUGUAGCCAAAAUAACUACUACGGACGAUUAAUCCUGUAUUGUAUUUGGGGUUCUCAUACACCCCUACAAUUAAAUACAGUUAAACAGCUGAGAGAACUUCUGAGCUGUUUCAUAACAAAAUCAUGAUUUCAAUUCACAUAUGGAUAACUGGUUCUGUUCUAGUCUAAAAUCACAGACUCCACCCCCGCCCUGGGCCGUGCCUCGGCAACAGCUCCACGGGGCACCAAGGCAUUAGGGAGGACGGAGUGAGGCAUCCGUGGAAACCCCUGAUUCGGAGAGCAUGCACUACUGAUGUACGCGAGACACCACCAGCAGGGCCCAGGGCAAGAAAAAAGGCCCAGGCAGACAGACGAGGAGUGAUUUUCUGCAGGGCCUCUGAGUUGAACACAACUCUACCCAGAGAGGCAAACGUAAUGCGAUAAAUCCGGCUGGAAGAUGAUCUGUGUUCCACACGUAACGGGAGGGGCUGGGGGUACCGGCCCUCCCAUAAACACUUCACCAUCGCUU